AUUGAACGCUGGCGGCAUGCCUUACACAUGCAAGUCGAACGGCAGCAUGGGAGCAAUCCUGGUGGCGAGUGGCGAACGGGUGAGUAAAGUAUCGGAACGUGCCCAGUCGUGGGGGAUAACGUAGCGAAAGUUACGCUAAUACCGCAUACGAUCUAUGGAUGAAAGCGGGGGAUCGCAAGACCUCGCGCGAUUGGAGCGGCCGAUAUCAGAUUAGGUAGUUGGUGGGGUAAAGGCUCACCAAGCCGACGAUCUGUAGCUGGUCUGAGAGGACGACCAGCCACACUGGGACUGAGACACGGCCCAGACUCCUACGGGAGGCAGCAGUGGGGAACUUUGGACAAUGGGCGUAAGCCUGAUCCAGCCAUGCCGCGUGCAGGAUGAAGGCCUUCGGGUUGUAAACUGCUUUUGUACGGAACGAAAAGGUUUGGCCUAAUAAGCUGAGCUCAUGACGGUACCGUAAGAAUAAGCACCGGCUAACUACGUGCCAGCCGCCGCCGUAA
rnacentral:rRNA from 1 species